UGCUAUACAUGCAAGUCGAGCGAACAGACGAGGAGCUUGCUCCUUUGACGUUAGCGGCGGACGGGUGAGUAACACGUAGGUAACCUACCUAUAAGACUGGGAUAACUUCGGGAAACCGGAGCUAAUACCGGAUAAUAUUUCGAACCGCAUGGUUCGAUAGUGAAAGAUGGCUUUGCUAUCACUUAUAGAUGGACCUGCGCCGUAUUAGCUAGUUGGUAAGGUAACGGCUUACCAAGGCAACGAUACGUAGCCGACCUGAGAGGGUGAUCGGCCACACUGGAACUGAGACACGGUCCAGACUCCUACGGGAGGCAGCAGUAGGGAAUCUUCCGCAAUGGGCGAAAGCCUGACGGAGCAACGCCGCGUGAGUGAUGAAGGUCUUCGGAUCGUAAAACUCUGUUAUUAGGGAAGAACAAACGUGUAAGUAACUGUGCACGUCUUGACGGUACCUAAUCAGAAAGCCACGGCUAACUACGUGCCAGCAGCCGCGGUAAAAUCUUUUC
rnacentral:rRNA from 1 species